AGUGAACGCUGGCGGUAGGCCUAACGCAUGCAAGUCGAACGGCAGCACAGUAAGAGCUUGCUCUUACGGGUGGCGAGUGGCGGACGGGUGAGGAAUACAUCGGAAUCUACUUUUUCGUGGGGGAUAACGUAGGGAAACUUACGCUAAUACCGCAUACGACCUACGGGUGAAAGCAGGGGAUCUUCGGACCUUGCGCGAUUGAAUGAGCCGAUGUCGGAUUAGCUAGUUGGCGGGGUAAAGGCCCACCAAGGCGACGAUCCGUAGCUGGUCUGAGAGGAUGAUCAGCCACACUGGAAUUGAGACACGGUCCAGACUCCUACGGGAGGCAGCAGUGGGGAAUAUUGGACAAUGGGCGCAAGCCUGAUCCAGCCAUACCGCGUGGGUGAAGAAGGCCUUCGGGUUGUAAAGCCCUUUUGUUGGGAAAGAAAAGCAGCAGGUUAAUACCCCGCUGUUCUGACGGUACCCAAAGAAUAAGCACCGGCUAACUUCGUG
rnacentral:rRNA from 1 species